rnacentral:rRNA from 1 species
GAUGAACGCUGGCGGCGUGCCUAAUACAUGCAAGUCGAGCGAACGGACGAGAAGCUUGCUUCUCUGAUGUUAGCGGCGGACGGGUGAGUAACACGUGGAUAACCUACCUAUAAGACUGGGAUAACUUCGGGAAACCGGAGCUAAUACCGGAUAAUAUUUUGAACCGCAUGGUUCAAAAGUGAAAGACGGUCUUGCUGUCACUUAUAGAUGGAUCCGCGCUGCAUUAGCUAGUUGGUAAGGUAACGGCUUACCAAGGCAACGAUGCAUAGCCGACCUGAGAGGGUGAUCGGCCACACUGGAACUGAGACACGGUCCAGACUCCUACGGGAGGCAGCAGUAGGGAAUCUUCCGCAAUGGGCGAAAGCCUGACGGAGCAACGCCGCGUGAGUGAUGAAGGUCUUCGGAUCGUAGAACUCUGUUAUUAGGGAAGAACAUAUGUGUAAGUAACUGUGCACAUCUUGACGGUACCUAAUCAGAAAGCCACGGCUAACUACGUGCCAGCAGCCGCGGUAAUACGUAGGUGGCAAGCGUUAUCCGGAAUUAUUGGGCGUAAAGCGCGCGUAGGCGGUUUUUUAAGUCUGAUGUGAAAGCCCACGGCUCAACCGUGGAGGGUCAUUGGAAACUGGAAAACUUGAGUGCAGAAGAGGAAAGUGGAAUUCCAUGUGUAGCGGUGAAAUGCGCAGAGAUAUGGAGGAACACCAGUGGCGAAGGCGACUUUCUGGUCUGUAACUGACGCUGAUGUGCGAAAGCGUGGGGAUCAAACAGGAUUAGAUACCCUGGUAGUCCACGCCGUAAACGAUGAGUGCUAAGUGUUAGGGGGUUUCCGCCCCUUAGUGCCGCAGCUAACGCAUUAAGCACUCCGCCUGGGGAGUACGACCGCAAGGUUGAAACUCAAAGGAAUUGACGGGGACCCGCACAAGCGGUGGAGCAUGUGGUUUAAUUCGAAGCAACGCGAAGAACCUUACCAAAUCUUGACAUCCUUUGACAACUCUAGAGAUAGAGCCUUCCCCUUCGGGGGACAAAGUGACAGGUGGUGCAUGGUUGUCGUCAGCUCGUGUCGUGAGAUGUUGGGUUAAGUCCCGCAACGAGCGCAACCCUUAAGCUUAGUUGCCAUCAUUAAGUUGGGCACUCUAAGUUGACUGCCGGUGACAAACCGGAGGAAGGUGGGGAUGACGUCAAAUCAUCAUGCCCCUUAUGAUUUGGGCUACACACGUGCUACAAUGGACAAUACAAAGGGCAGCGAAACCGCGAGGUCAAGCAAAUCCCAUAAAGUUGUUCUCAGUUCGGAUUGUAGUCUGCAACUCGACUACAUGAAGCUGGAAUCGCUAGUAAUCGUAGAUCAGCAUGCUACGGUGAAUACGUUCCCGGGUCU